CAAUAGCGUAUAUUUAAGUUGCUGCAGUUAAAAAGCUCGUAGUUGGAUUUCGGGUGGGAAUGGCCGGUCCGCCGUUUCGGUGUGCACUUGCUACGCCCACCUUGCUGCCGGGGACGUGCUCUUGAGUUCACGCUCGGGACACGGAGUCGGCGAGGUUACUUUGAGUAAAUUAGAGUGUUCAAAGCAGGCCUACGCUCUGAAUACAUUAGCAUGGAAUAACACGAUAGGACUCUGGCCUAUCUUGUUGGUCUGUAGGAACGGAGUAAUGAUUAAGAGGGACAGUCGGGGGCAUUCGUAUUUCAUUGUCAGAGGUGAAAUUCUUGGAUUUAUGAAAGACGAACUACUGCGAAAGCAUUUGCCAAGGAUGUUUUCAUUAA
rnacentral:rRNA from 1 species